rnacentral:tRNA from 1 species
GCAGCCUUAGCUCAGUUGGUUAGAGCGCCGGUUUGUGGAGCCGGAGGUCCUUGGUUCGAACCCAAGAGGCUGUACCA